AUUGAACGCUGGCGGAAUGCUUUACACAUGCAAGUCGAACGGCAGCACGGGGGCAACCCUGGUGGCGAGUGGCGAACGGGUGAGUAAUACAUCGGAACGUGCCCGGUCGUGGGGGAUAACGUAGCGAAAGUUACGCUAAUACCGCGUACGAUCUGAGGAUGAAAGCGGGGGACCUUCGGGCCUCGCGCGAUCGGAGCGGCCGAUGUCAGAUUAGGUAGUUGGUGGGGUAAAGGCCUACCAAGCCGACGAUCUGUAGCUGGUCUGAGAGGACGACCAGCCACACUGGGACUGAGACACGGCCCAGACUCCUACGGGAGGCAGCAGUGGGGAAUUUUGGACAAUGGGCACAAGCCUGAUCCAGCCAUUCCGCGUGCAGGACGAAGGCCUUCGGGUUGUAAACUGCUUUUGUAUGGAACGAAAAGGCUCUGGCUAAUACCUGGGGCUCAUGACGGUACCGUAAGAAUAAGCACCGGCUAACUACGUG
rnacentral:rRNA from 1 species